rnacentral:rRNA from 1 species
AGAGGCACUGCCUGCCCAGUGACAUUAACAGUUCAACGGCCGCGGUAUCCUGACCGUGCAAAGGUAGCAUAAUCACUUGUUCCUUAAAUGGGGACUAGUAUGAAUGGCUUGACGAGGGUUUAACUGUCUCUUGUUUAUAGUCAGUGAAAUUGACCUUUCCGUGAAGAGGCGGAAAUAAAACAAUAAGACGAGAAGACCCUAUGGAGCUUAAAUUUUCUAGCUCAUUCUAACAAUAUUUAAUCAAAAAGAGAUAAAAAACAAGUUAUGAGCUAACAAUUUUGGUUGGGGUGACCUCGGAGUAAAAAUAAACCUCCGAAUGAUAUUAACCUAGACUUACAAGUCAAAGUUCCUAUCAUUAAUUGACCCAGAAUAAUCUGAACAACGGACCAAGUUACCCUAGGGAUAACAGCGCAAUCCUAUUCUAGAGUCCAUAUCGACAAUAGGGUUUACGACCUCGAUGUUGGAUCAGGACCCCCAAAUGGUGCAACCGCUAUUAAAGGUUCGUU